UACGUAGGGGGCAAGCGUUGUCCGGAAUCAUUGGGCGUAAAGCGCGUGUAGGCGGCUUGGUAAGUCCGCUCUGAAAGCCCGGGGCUCGAACCCCGGGAAGGCGGGUGGAUACUGUCAAGCUCGAGUCCGGAGGAGGCGAGUGGAAUCCUGGUGUAGCGGUGAAAUUCGUAGAGUAUUCGCAAGAACACCAGUAGGCGAAGGCGGCUCACUGGCC
rnacentral:rRNA from 1 species